UACGGGGGGAGCAAGCGUUGUUCGGAUUUACUGGGCGUAAAGGGCGCGUAGGCGGUCAGCACAAGUCAGUUGUGAAAUCUCCGGGCUUAACUCGGAAAGGUCAACUGAUACUGUGCGACUAGAGUGCGGAAGGGGCAACUGGAAUUCUCGGUGUAGCGGUGAAAUGCGUAGAUAUCGAGAGGAACACCUGCGGCGAAGGCGGGUUGCUGGGCCGACACUGACGCUCAUGUACGAAAGCUAGGGGAGCGAACGGG
rnacentral:rRNA from 1 species